rnacentral:rRNA from 1 species
GAAUUCACUAGUGAUUCAGGCCUAACACAUGCAAGUCGAGCGAACCACUUCGGUGGUGAGCGGCGAACGGGUGAGUAACACGUAGGUGAUCUGCCCAUCAGACGGGGACAACGAUUGGAAACGAUCGCUAAUACCGGAUAGGACGAAAGUUUAAAGGUGCUCCUGGCACCGCUGAUGGAUGAGCCUGCGGCGCAUUAGCUAGUUGGUAGGGUAAAGGCCUACCAAGGCGACGAUGCGUAGCCGACCUGAGAGGGUGAACGGCCACACUGGGACUGAGACACGGCCCAGACUCCUACGGGAGGCAGCAGUAGGGAAUCUUCGGCAAUGGGCGAAAGCCUGACCGAGCAAAGCCGCGUGAAUGAUGAAGGCCUUCGGGUGUAAAAUUAAGGAUAAGGGAAGAACGACUUUAGUAGGAAAUGG